AUUGAACGCUGGCGGCAGGCCUAACACAUGCAAGUCGAACGAGUGGCGGACGGGUGAGUAAUGUCUGGGAAACUGCCUGAUGGAGGGGGAUAACUACUGGAAACGGUAGCUAAUACCGCAUACCAUCGGAUGUGCCCAGAUGGGAUUAGCUAGUAGGUGGGGUAAAGGCUCACCUAGGCGACGAUCCCUAGCUGGUCUGAGAGGAUGACCAGCCAAACUGGGACUGGAACAAGGUCCAGAAUCCUACGGGAGGGAGGAGUGGGGAAUAUUUGAAAAUGGGCGGAAGUCUGGCGGAGCAACGGCGGGUGGGUGAUGACGGCCUUCGGGUUGUAAAGUAUGUUAAUCGGGACGACGGUACCGGAAUAGGAAGCAACGGCUAACUACGUGCCAGCAGCCGCGGUAAUUC
rnacentral:rRNA from 1 species